rnacentral:rRNA from 1 species
UAAUACGGAGGGUGCAAGCGUUAAUCGGAAUUACUGGGCGUAAAGCGCACGCAGGCGGUUUGUUAAGUCAGAUGUGAAAUCCCCGGGCUCAACCUGGGAACUGCAUUUGAAACUGGCAAGCUAGAGUCUCGUAGAGGGGGGUAGAAUUCCAGGUGCAGCGGUGAAAUGCGUAGAGAUCUGGAGGAAUACCGGUGGCGAAGGCGGCCCCCUGGACGAAGACUGACGCUCAGGUGCGAAAGCGUGGGGAGCAAACAGGAUUAGAUACCCUGGUAGUCCACGCUGUAAACGAUGUCGAUUUGGAGGUUGUGCCCUUGAGGCGUGGCUUCCGGAGCUAACGCGUUAAAUCGACCGCCUGGGGAGUACGGCCGCAAGGUUA